AAAUGACUCUCGGCAACGGAUAUCUCGGCUCUCGCAUCGAUGAAGAACGUAGCGAAAUGCGAUACUUGGUGUGAAUUGCAGAAUCCCGUGAACCAUCGAGUCUUUGAACGCAAGUUGCGCCUGAAGCCAUUAGGUUGAGGGCACGCCUGCCUGGGCGU
rnacentral:rRNA from 1 species